UGGGGUGUGGCUCAAGUGGUAGAGCACCUGCCUAGUAAGUGUGAGGCCCUGAGUUCAAAUCCCAGCACCUCCA
rnacentral:tRNA from 1 species